rnacentral:lncRNA from 1 species
AAUGUUCUUGGCCCUUCCCAGAACCAGCAGAGGUUGAAGCUGUCCCGGCCCGUCAUCCUAGGUGCCAUUUCCAGCGUGGUGUCCAGCAGCACUAACAGCCAGUUCAGACGGGAAUGUCUGCAGAGUUUGCAGCAGGUACCUGAGGAUGUCAACCCAGCCUGGCUUGCUGCAUGUGACUUACCAACAGCUAGCCAGAAGCUAUCACAGGAAGAGGCAUCUGACAGCAUCAAUUCUGUCGAUUCAGAGCCGGCCUCUCUGCUGGACAGAGUUGACUUGUGGGGAGAAAUUAGUGAAACUAAGAGGAGGAAGACAGCAACCAUAGAGAACAAUGCAGGUGAGGCUCUGGAGCAAGAGCCACGGGGUGGCUUGCAGGAGAGGACAGACAAUCUCAUGACAGACUUUGGCAGCCAGCUGAGUUUUUGCCUAUGGAGUCCCAAGAAAGGAACAGAUGCCAGCAUGUUCCUAAGUGAAAGAGAGGAAGGCUUUACAGCUGUAUCAGAGGACGGAGCCAGAAGCAGUGAGAAUCUGUGGCAGGUUGGUCAGGGAAGAAGCUCUCCAGAAAUCAAACUCAGUUUGAGUAAAAGGGAAGGGCCAAACUGGAUGGCACCCACAAGGCCAUGUUCUCCAGUAUUGAGGAGUGGUGUGGCCUGGAGGAAGGCGCAUGGGCUUCAGAAGCAAUUGGUGCUGAGUUCUAAUGUGCCUUCCCUCUCUACCUCACUUUCCCUGUCUGCAAAAUGGGGAUAACACUAAUCCAACUACCAGAGGGAGCUGUGGCUACAGGUA